rnacentral:misc_RNA from 1 species
AAGGAGUCUAACAUGUAUGCGAGUAUUUGGGUGGCAAACCCUGAUGCGUAAUGAAAGUGAAAAGGUGGGAUCCUCGGAGCACCACCGACCGGGCCAGGUCUUCUGACCUCGGUCUGAGUAUGAGCAUAUAUGCUGGGACCCGAAAGAUGGUGAACUAUGCCUGAAUAGGGUGAAGCCAGAGGAAACUCUGGUGGAGGCUCGUAGCGGUUCUGACGCGCAAAUCGAUCGUCAAAUUUGGGUAUAGGGGCGAAAGACUAAUCGAACCAUCUAGUAGCUGGUUCCCUC